rnacentral:rRNA from 2 species
UGGGGAAUAUUGGACAAUGGGCGCAAGCCUGAUCCAGCCAUGCCGCGUGAGUGAUGAAGGCCCUAGGGUUGUAAAGCUCUUUCACCGGUGAAGAUAAUGACGGUAACCGGAGAAGAAGCCCCGGCUAACUUCGUGCCAGCAGCCGCGGUAAUACGAAGGGGGCUAGCGUUGUUCGGAUUUACUGGGCGUAAAGCGCACGUAGGCGGACUUUUAAGUCAGGGGUGAAAUCCCGGGGCUCAACCCCGGAACUGCCUUUGAUACUGGAAGUCUUGAGUAUGGUAGAGGUGAGUGGAAUUCCGAUUGUAGAGGUGAAAUUCGUAGAUAUUCGGAGGAACACCAGUGGCGAAGGCGGCUCACUGGACCAUUACUGACGCUGAGGUGCGAAAGCGUGGGGAGCAAACAGG